rnacentral:rRNA from 1 species
UACGGAGGAUGCAAGCGUUAUCCGGAUUUAUUGGAUUUAAAGGGUGCGCAGGUUGUUUGAUAAGUCAGUGGUGAAAGUCUGUCGCUUAACGGUAGGAUUGCCAUUGAUACUGUUGGACUUGAAUAUGGAUGAGGUAGGCGGAAUGUGUAGUGUAGCGGUGAAAUGCAUAGAUAUUACACAGAACACCGAUUGCGAAGGCAGCUUACUAAUCCAUCAUUGACGCUGAGGCACGAAAGCGUGGGGAUCAAACA